rnacentral:rRNA from 1 species
UACGGAGGGUGCGGGCGUUGUCCGGAAUCACUGGGCGUAAAGGGCGCGUAGGCGGCCUGGCAAGUCGAUGGUGAAAGCCCGUGGCUCAACUACGGGUCGGCCAUUGAUACUGCUAGGCUCGAGUCGACUAGAGGCAGAUGGAAUUCCGGGUGUAGCGGUGGAAUGCGUAGAGAUCCGGAAGAACACCGGUGGCGAAGGCGGUCUGCUGGGGUCGAACUGACGCUGAGGCGCGACAGCGUGGGGAGCAAACAGG